rnacentral:rRNA from 1 species
CGGACGGGUGAGUAACACGUGGGCGAUCUGGCUGUAGGACAGGGAUAACCCCGGGAAACCGGAGCUAAUACCGGAUAGAGGUAAAGAUCGCAUGAUUUUUACCGGAAAGAUGGCGCAAGCUAUCACCUGCAGAUGAGCCCGCGGCGCAUUAGCUAGUUGGUGGGGUAACGGCCUACCAAGGCGACGAUGCGUAGCCGACCUGAGACGGUGAUCGGCCACACUGGGACUGAAACUCGGCCCAGACUCCUACGGGAGGCAGCAGUAGGGAAUCUUCCGCAAUGGACGAAAGUCUGACGGAGCAUCGCCGCGUGAGUGAUGAAGGUUUUCGGAUUGUAAAACUCUGUCAUUAGGGAAGAACGGCUGAUGU